GUGCAGCAGGCGCGAAUACUUUACAAUGUGCGAAAGCACGAUAAGGGGACUCUGAGUGCCUCCUAAGGAGGCUGUUCUGAUGUCUAAAAGCAACAGAAGUAAGGGCUGGGUAAGACCGGUGCCAGCCGCCGCGGUAACACCGGCAGCCCAAGUGGUAGCCACGUUUAUUGGGUCUAAAGCGUUCGUAGCCGGCCAGGUAAGUUCCUUGGUAAAUUUAGCCGCUUAACGGUUAAGCUUUCAGGGAAUACUGCUUGGCUUGGGACUGGGAGAGGUCAGAGGUACUCCGGGGGUAGGGGUGAAAUCUAUUAAUCCCUGGGGGACCACCGGUAGCGAAGGCGUCUGACCAGACCAGGUCCGACGGUGAGGGACGAAGGCUA
rnacentral:rRNA from 1 species